UAUUUAUUUUGUAAUUAUUGGUAUAAGCUUUCGUGCAUGCACACUUCUUCAAAUACCUGAAGAAGUGUGCAUGCACACGAAAGCUUAUACCAAGAACAAACUUAGUUGG